CCUACGGGUGGCUGCAGUGGGGAAUAUUGGGCAAUGGGCGCAAGCCUGACCCAGCAACGCCGCGUGAAGGAAGACGGCUUUCGGGUUGUAAACUUCUUUUGUCAGGGAAGAGUAUAAGACGGUGCCUGACGAAUAAGCCACGGCUAACUACAUGCCAGGAGCCGCGGUAAUACGUAGGGGGCAAGCGUUAUCCGGAUUUGCUGGGUGUAAAGGGGGCGCAGACGGCAAUGCAAGCCAGGAGUGAAAGCCCGGGGCCCAACCCCGGGACUGCCGUUGAAACUGAAGGGCUGGAGUACAGGAGGGGCAGGCGGAAUGCCUGGUGUAGCGGUGAAAUGCGUAGAUAUCAGGAGGAACACCGGUGGCGAAGGCGGCCUGCUGGACUGUGACUGACGUUGAGGCCCGAAGGCGUGGGGAGCAAACAGGAUUAGAUACCCCUGUAGUC
rnacentral:rRNA from 1 species